GUCUUUCUCAUAAUUACAUUAAUUGUGUGACGAGACAUCAGUGGCUGUGACUGAAUGCAGUGUGAAUCCUUCCUCAUCAGUGAAACAGAAAGAAUUGUGUGACGAGACAUCAGUGGCUGUGACUGAAUGCAGUGUGAAUCCUUCCUCAUCAGUGAAACAGAAAGAAAAAGACAAAUGAAUCAGGAUGAAACUGAGAACUCCAGAGAGACCAAAUCAAGGAGAAUAGCGAAAAGGCCAUGGAGCCCAAAUGAAGAUAAUGCUUUUGUGAAACAUUUCCAUAUUUCAAAGGGACACCUAGCAACAAAGGCAGAGUGUGAGCUGUGCAAGACUGCAGAGGACCCUGUCCUGAGAGAAAGAAUGGCCCAAAAUAUAAGGCAUUUCGUGAGGAACCGAGGUUUGAUGUUGAAAAAGAAAUCUUCUUAGAGUUCUUAGAGAGAUCAGUAUCGCUGAUACCACCUUUAAUGUCUGCCUGUUCAAGACAUCCUUUUAUAUACUUUUAUUAAACACUGUUUUGAAAGAAAUGUACAAAUACAUGCAUUUACUGGAAGGCAUUAUGUGCUUAUUAGAUCUCAGUUGUUGAGCCUUUUUUACCAUUUGCAAAAUAAAAAAAAAAUGCCCUUUCAGUUUAA